AUUGGCCGGAAGUUUACUUUUGGUCAAUCUUAGCGGCGACGGGUGAGUAACACGUGAACAACCUACCCUAAUGACCGGGAUAACACCGGGAAACUGGUGCUAAUACCGGAUACGCUCUGAAGGUGGCAUUACCUUCAGAGGAAAGUCGGCCUCUAUUUAUAAGCUGGCACGUUAGGAUGGGUUCGCGCCCCAUUAGCUUGUUGGUAGGGUAACGGCCUACCAAGGCUUCGAUGGGUAGCCGGCCUGAGAGGGUGGCCGGCCACACUGGGACUGAGAUACGGCCCAGACUCCUACGGGAGGCAGCAGUGGGGAAUCUUCCGCAAUGGGCGCAAGCCUGACGGAGCGACGCCGCGUGGGGGACGAAGGCCUUCGGGUUGUAAACCUCUUUUCUGAAGGGAGAACGUUCUAUCUGUAAAUAGCGGAUAGAGUUGACGGUACUUCAGGAAUAAGCCCCGGCUAACUACGUGCCAGCAGCCGCGGUAAUACGUAGGGGGCGAGCGUUGUCCGGAAUCACUGGGCGUAAAGGGCGUGUAGGCGGCUAGAGUAGUCGCAGGUGAAAUCCCACGGCUCAACCGUGGAACUGCCUGCGAAACCAUUUAGCUUGAGGACAGGAGAGGAAAGCGGAAUUCCUGGUGUAGCGGUGAAAUGCGUAGAUAUCAGGAGGAACCACCAGUGGCGAAGGCGGCUUUCUGGCCUGGUCCUGACGCUGAGGCGCGAAAGCUAGGGGAGCGAACAGGAUUAGAUACCCUGGUAGUCCUAGCUGUAAACGAUGGGUACUAGGUGUUGGUGGGCUCAUACCCAUCAGUGCCGCAGUUAACACAAUAAGUACCCCGCCUGGGGAGUACGGUCGCAAGACUGAAACUCAAAUGAAUUGACG
rnacentral:rRNA from 1 species